rnacentral:rRNA from 1 species
UGGGGAAUAUUGCACAAUGGGCGCAAGCCUGAUGCAGCCAUGCCGCGUGUAUGAAGAAGGCCUUCGGGUUGUAAAGUACUUUCAGCGGGGAGGAAGGGAGUAAAGUUAAUAACUUUACUCAUUGACGUUACCCGCAGAAGAAGCACCGGCUAACUCCGUGCCAGCAGCCGCGGUAAUACGGAGGGUGCAAGCGUUAAUCGGAAUUACUGGGCGUAAAGCGCACGCAGGCGGUUUGUUAAGUCAGAUGUGAAAUCCCCGGGCUCAACCUGGGAACUGCGUCUGAUACUGGCAAGCUUGAGUCUCGUAGAGGGGGGUAGAAUUCCAGGUGUAGCGGUGAAAUGCGUAGAGAUCUGGAGGAAUACCGGUGGCGAAGGCGGCCCCCUGGACGAAGACUGACGCUCAGGUGCGAAAGCGUGGGGAGCAAACAGG